GCCAGUAUAGCUCAGUCGGUAGAGCAACUGAUUCGUAAUCAGUAGGUCGUCAGUUCAAUUCUGACUACUGGCUCCA
rnacentral:tRNA from 2 species